rnacentral:lncRNA from 1 species
CGGCCGCUGGGCCGCUGGCGUGAGGAUGCUAUUGACUGGCAGCGCACAUUCAGCGUGGGCGCCAUGGACUUCGAGCUGCUGCGCUCCGACUGGAACGACCUGCGCUGUAACGUGUCCGGGAACCUGCAGCUUCCUGAGACCGAAGCAGUGGACGUGGUGGCUCAGUACAUGGAGCGGCUUAAUGCACGGCAUGGCGGGCGCUUCUCGCUUCUACGCAUCGUGAACGUGGAAAAGCGCCGCGACUCCGCACGCGGAAGCCGCUUCCUCCUGGAACUGGAAUUGCAAGAGCGCGGAGGCAGCCGCCAGCGCCUUUCAGAAUAUGUCUUCCUGCGAUUGCCGGGAGCCCGCGUUGGGGACGAAGAUGGAGACAGUCCCGAGCCCCCUCCUGCCGCCUCCAGCCACCCAGUGGGAGGUGAAUGGAUUUGGUCUCUUUGGAAUCUACAAAUCAGACUUUGACCGAGUGGGAGGCAUGAACACUGAGGAGUUCCGUGACCAGUGGGGAGGCGAGGACUGGGAACUUCUGGACAGGCAGGGCUGGAGGUGGAGAGGCUUCGACUUCGACAUUUCUACCACCACUAUCACUCAAAGCGAGGCAUGUGGGCCACACGCAGCCGCAAGGGUGCCCGCGCACAUCGAUCCUGAAGACCCAGCUGCCCUCUGUGCCACGGGGCCUUGGCGCAGCAGGGUUGAAGCUGCAUCCUGACCUUGAUUGGGGCCACCUGUGCUGGCCCCUAAAUGCCUCCUCUGUGACUCCAGAUAGGCAGCGUUCACGGCAGGGCAGGCACCUUGAUCCCCACACUCCCUGAUGAUUUCUGUGAAAUUUUCUGUAGCAAUGACAUUGUUUUCAGAAUUUACAAGAGUUCUGUCUGUUCUGUUUUUUAUUCAGAAUGAAAUGAAAUAUUUUUUUUAGUUCUG